GCUACAAGUUCAAGAUGAAGGUGUCAGCAGGGUUGGUUUCUUCUGAGGCCUCAAUCUUUGACUUACAGAUGGCUGUCUUCUCCCUGUGCCUUCACAUCGUCUUCCUCCUGCAGCCUGUUGGUUUGCACCCUUACGAGCUUCCUGGGUGAAAUCUGCAUCUGACUCCCACAUACAGAGAACAAGGAGAGACCAAAGAAAAAGGCAGACUGCUCCAGAUUGGGCCAUGGCCAUUGAUAUAUCCACAGACGCACCUGGGAGACUCAGAAACCCUUUCUGUCAAAUGAGUUCCUCUGCUGUAGGCACUGUUCUUCUUCCCAGAGAACCUGGGUCCCAAAAUGGGACAAAACUACUCCAGAAGACUUGAGACAGACCUGGAAUGUAGACUCAGUGAUAGGAGAGUUCAGCUAAAGAUGCCUGCACCCCAUCUGACCUGCGGACACAUGGGUGAUCAAACAAAACCGAGAUGCCA